CCUCCGCCUCUUCUCUGCACCCCCGCCGCUCGUUCCCCUGCGAAGCCGAAGCCCUCUGCAAUAGAUCCGAGCACUGACGCCCUCCGCCUCUUCUCUGCACCCCCGCCGCUCGUUCCCCUGCGAAGCCAGAAGCCCUCAACAGAUCCGAGCAUCGACGCCCUCCGCCUCUUCUCUGCACCCCCGCCGCUCGUUCCCCUGCGAAGCCGAAGCCCUCUGCAACAGAUCCGAGCACCGACACCCCAAGCCGCUCCUGCUCUGCUCCGUCUCACCAAAAGCCGCCAUCGCCCCGCGACCUCAGCCGCGCGCCCUCUCCUCAUCCAUCGACGAGUUAUCAAACAGAUUUUUUUCCUCAGAAACUCGUCCAGAAAUAGAAAUAGAAAAAUUCAUUUAUGUUCCAGAAACUAUUUCUGGAACAGAAAUGUUGUCAUGCACCCCC
rnacentral:lncRNA from 1 species